GCAGACAGGCUGCAAAGAGCUCCUUUUCUCCCGCCUCUCAGCUGAUCAGCGGGUGGGCGGGGCUUCCACAGAGGCCUCGUGUAGGCCUCUGUGAAGCCUGAACUCCAGUAGGGCCCAAGCCAGCCAGGAAGGAGGAGGCAGCCAGAGUGGCCACCACUGUUCUCUGCAGCAGAAGACCCCCUGCUGCCAGGUAACAGUCACUUCUGUAAGAGGAGGAGAGCAAAACUAACUGAAUUUAUAAAACAACCAAUCAACAGAACUGAAGACUGACUCCACCCCAAGGACCCAACAUAGACACAUACAUACAGAGAAUGUAAAAACAGCUGUGGAAGUAGCCUGAGCUGGAACAGGACUGUGGUGCUGGUUCAUGUGAGAUAAUUCACACCCUCCUGGAUGAAUCUAAACAAUGGGAUUGAAGGAAGUAAUAAAGAAUCCUCACAACAACCAGAGAGAAGACUCGGUCUCUGAGAAACUGUUUAUAUACUUACAGUUGAAAAUACUGUUUUCUGUUGAAGCAAUUGUGAAACAAGGAUUUAUCGUGAAAUCUUGUCAAAAUAUACUCAUUAUACACAUAUACUGAUUUCAUUGUAUUGGGAAUAUAUUAUUCAUAUUGUG